rnacentral:SRP_RNA from 1 species
GUCCGGAGCCUGUGCAACGCCAGACCCCGAACCGCGUCAGGACCGGAAGGUAGCAGCGCUAAGGGGAUCCUGCCGUGUGCAUGGGUACUCCGGGUCGC